AGUAAACAUCGCACCGUUUUCAAAAUUUGGCACAGACAACAAACAACAUGCAUUCUUAAACAUAAAUGGCUAAAUAUUAGUUUCUCUCUCUUCUCUAUCAUGUAUCUUUGAGAGAGAGAAACUUUCUACUUUGUUUAUAGUUUCUAAUCUAAAUCAGAUCUACAAAUAAAUUUUCGUUUUAACGGAUAAAGCUUCCGGCGUUGUCCGGUUUAUCUUUCCGAUUAGAUCGGAUUUUUUGUUUGUGUUUUAGUUUUUCUUUUUCCACAUGUUUACAAGAUCAAUUCGGUUUGCUUUCUUCUUCAGAAGAAUUCUGCUUUCACCAAACUCAUCUUUUCCUUUAUAAGGGAGUAAUAUCUUCACCGUCCAUUGAAGGGACCUACAAGAUAGGUAUUAGGUGAAGCUUUCCUUUGAAGACUAGAUUGAGAGAUCUCUGAAUUUAUUUCAAGGUGGUGGCAUGGAAUCUUCAGCUGAUGGAAUCCGGCGAAUUAUGUGGAAGAAGCUCUUGGUGUUGAUUUGAUUAAGCCCGACCGACGGAGCAGAGGUGGAUCGUGGAUCAGCCGGCAACGUCAGUUUCAACAUCUCUUCAUCUCACGUUGGACACGUGUUGGCAACGUGGCACUUUUUUUGUCUUAGCCUUAUCUUUAGAAUUGGGUGGGUUAAGCUGUGCUUUAAAUUUUAAUCAAAGUUGUAAAUGGUGAGGGAUUGGGCCUUUCAUCAGCAUCUGUAACACCCUUUAUUGGGUUUUAAUAUCCAAUAUGAAAUUUGGCCGAC